UGGUUCAGUUGGUAGAGCAUGGUGUUUGCAACACCAGGGUUGUGGGUUCGAUUCCCAC
rfam:Salmo salar isolate Sally breed double haploid chromosome ssa21, whole genome shotgun sequence.